rnacentral:rRNA from 1 species
AUUGAACGCUGGCGGAAUGCUUUACACAUGCAAGUCGAACGGCAGCACGGACUUCGGUCUGGUGGCGAGUGGCGAACGGGUGAGUAACAUAUCGGAACGUAUCCAAUAAUGGGGGAUAACGAGUCGAAAGAUUCGCUAAUACCGCAUACGCCCUACGGGGGAAAGCUGGGGACCUUCGGGCCUGGCGUUAAUGGAGCGGCCGAUAUCUGAUUAGCUAGUUGGUGAGGUAAAGGCUCACCAAGGCGACGAUCAGUAGCUGGUCUGAGAGGACGACCAGCCACACUGGAACUGAGACACGGUCCAGACUCCUACGGGAGGCAGCAGUGGGGAAUUUUGGACAAUGGGCGCAAGCCUGAUCCAGCCAUUCCGCGUGGGUGAAGAAGGCCUUCGGGUUGUAAAGCUCUUUCGCAAGGGAAGAAAACUUAGCCACUAACAUUGGUUGAGGUUGACGGUACCUUGAUAAGAAGCACCGGCUAACUACGUGCCAGCCGCCGCGGUAA